CCUACGGGAGGCAGCAGUAGGGAAUCUUCGGCAAUGGGCGAAAGCCUGACCGAGCAACGCCGCGUGAAUGAAGAAGGCCUUCGGGUUGUAAAAUUCUGUUAUGAGGGAAGAAAGGCGAUAGGAGGAAAUGACUAUCAAUUGACGGUACCUUAUGAGAAAGCCACGGCUAACUACGUGCCAGCAGCCGCGGUAAUGCGUAGGUGGCAAGCGUUAUCCGGAAUUAUUGGGCGUAAAGGGCGCGCAGGUGAUU
rnacentral:rRNA from 1 species